UUCUGGUUGGGUUCUACAAAUGGUUGCACCUACAGGUGGCUGCUGAGUGCCUUUUGAACUUCAGAGGAAGGCUUGUGUGAGCAAGGCAGAGACCUUAUGUUGGAGAUGGAAUGCUGCAAAAUGCAUGGAACUGUCCACCACCACUGUGCUGAAAUCAAGUGGAUCAAGGAGAUGUGGCACGUUGCAUCAUGACCAUCUGCUGCAGAGAUGUCCACGCAGCUGAGUAGGAGUAGGAUUGAACUUUGGCCUCAGGCUGUGAUGCAUGCUGUUGGACUGAUCCCUUCUGCUGCUGCUACUCAGAUCCCCUGGCUGGACUUGCAGCUCCUGGGGGAACACAUGCCUCAUGUCCUGGAAAGAACACAGUUCUGGAGUCAGAGGCCAUCAUUUCAUCUGGGCUAACUGUGUCUUGGUCCCUGACUAAUAUUGAGGCAAUGAAUGCAGAGUAUAGCUCAGCCCCAUCCUGGUUGAGAAAUUUCAAACAUACCAGGAAAGUAAAAGAUACGAGAGCCUUAACAAGGUUGUAAAUAUACAUGAAGUCAUCCUCUGCCUUUCUUCUUUCCUUGAGGCUAUGAUCUUUGCUACACGGGCUACAAUCUGAGUGUGGAGUGCUAAUUGCCAAAUUGACUUUACUGAGAAACAAAACAGAAGAAAAUAGAACUUAAUUUUCAAAUGUCAGUUAAAAACCCAUAUUAAGUGCAAGCAAUAUAAAAGACAAAGAAAACAAAAAGGGAACAUCGAACCCCACUGAAACAUACUUGGCAGGGAAAAGCAUUGCCUCAACUUUUCCCUGCUCAGAUUUUAAGGCCUCUUCAAGAGGACUCUUGGAUGACUCUGAAAUUAAGGUACAGACCAAUUUAGCCAAUCCAAGGAAAGCAGAGAAUAAACAAUUGAAGUGAGAAGGUCCCGAGGUCCUAAGUAUGUCUGGCGAUCUCUUCUACCACUCCUUGACUCUUUGGAGCACACCCUGACAGUGACUCAUUUGCAACUGGUCCAUGUAGGGAUGCCGUAUACAGUUAAACAGUUUGUGCACUGCACAGCUCCAGGGCUGUAUUUACACAGACCACAAUGUGAUCGGCUAUCUAAUCCCUCACAUGCUUCCUCUGGGAGGUCUUUUCUGAUCCUCUCACAGUCCACGGGACUCUCCCUUCAGUGGACACUCAAAGAUGCUACCAGACGCGCCUCUGACCCCAGUCUCCAGAAAGGACCACGCCCUCCAGAAGAAUUCUCACUGGUGAAAUCUGAAGACCCUAGAUGAGCUGCCAAGGGUGAACCAAGAAGGGGGCUUUAACUCCUCAAGUAAAACCCAGUCCCCUCAGUGAUGUUGAACUACCCAUAGAAAAACCACAUCGAGGCCAGUUGUGGUGACUCAAGACUGUAAUCCCAGCAUUUUGGGAGGCUGAGGUGGGUGGAUCACUUGAGGUCAGGAGUUCGAGCCCAGCCUGGCCAACAUGGUGAAACCCUGUCUCUACUAAAAAUACAAAAAUUGGCCUGCCGUGGUGGCGUGUAUCUGUAGUCCCAGCUACUUGGGAGGCUGAGGCAGGAGAAUCACUUCAACCUGGGAGGCAGAGGGUGUAGUGAGCUGAGAUUGCACCACUGCACUCCAGCCUGGGCGAAAGAGUGAGACUCUGUCUCAAAAAAAAAAAAACAAGAAAAGAAAAACCACAUCGAGGUGGGCCAGGGAGGACCCAGCCAUUGCCACAGAGGUGUUCAAAUGCAACCUCCUCUUGCAUAUGAAGGGAGAUCAGCUGACAGUUUAGCUUGAAACUCUCAGGAUACCAGAAUUCCCUACUUAGGAGCUGGGGCCAGAGCCAGCCAUGUGCAUUUGUUCAGGCUUCAGACAUCCUUCCUUAGGAGCCAUCAGGAACUGGACUUAGUUGAGCUGCGACUAAAUUUCAUCUUGCUUCGAACAAGAGACUGCAACCUUCCCAUUAAUACCACUCAGGCCCGAGCCAGAAUCCCCCUGUAGCUAUGACCUGCUCACUUGAUUACCCACUCAGCCUGGUUGGUACAACACCCCACCCCCAUCACUGCUCCUGGCCCACCCUCUAGGACCAUAGACAGCCCAGGACAAAGCAGCUGUACUAAUAGUAUGAGACACCGCAUAUGUUACCUGUGAAAUCUAGUAUAUAUCACACUCCACCACCUCAGUCUGGUGGACAGAGGCCAGCUUGCUUUGAUCUUUCCAUCCCCAGGGGCUAGUGCAGUGAGGAACACAUAGUGGGAGUUCAAAAAGCAUUUGUUAAUACUGCCAUGCAUAUAAAACAAAGUUUAAAAUUUCCUAAAGUAAUAAAAGGAGCAUAGCUCUAGUAUCAUCUAUUUUUUAUUACGUUGUGUUUACACGCCUCUGGUUAGUAACCCAAACCUGUUUCCAUGGUGAAUGUGACAAGACUAUGUAAUUAUGGGUCUGUAACUUUUUCUUUUUCUCUUUCUUUGGAAAAAGCUAUGUGAUUGCAGGACUAUAACUGUAUCUUCCUUUGUAAACUAUUCCUAAAUGUUAUCUUGUAGCUAACCUGUCACAGCCAAGGGCCUCCUAGAGUAGGCUUCUCCUGCCAGAAAGUUGGCUAUUUCGUGCAAAGUUCUUAUAAAUGUUUAAGGAGAACUAAGGCAGAAAAAUUAAAGGCCAGAAUGAGAAAAAGAGAAAUAACAUUUUUGUGGAGCUAACUUAUGCCAGAAUCUAUAUGGCCUCAUUUAAUCCUCACAACCCUUAUUUCACAGAUGAGAAAACUAAGGCUCAGAGAGGUUGCCUGAAGAGACGCCCCCAUUGAAUCCCCUGCGUUCCAGACACACUCCUCCCUACUUUAUUUAUUUAUUUAUUUUGAGACGAAGUUUUGCUCUUGUUGCCCAGGCUGGAGUGCAAUGGUGUGAUCUCAGCUCACCACAACCUCCACCUCCCAGGUUCAAGCGAUUCUCCUGCCUCAGCCUCCUGAGUAGCUGGGUUUACAGGCAUGUGCCAUCACACCCAGCUAAUUUUGUAUUUUUAGUAGAGAUGGGUUUCUCCAUGUUGGUCAGGCUGGUCUUGAACUCCCGACCUCAGGUGAUCCACCCGCCUCGGCCUCCCAAACUGCUUUGAUUACAGGUGUGAGCCACCGCACCCAGCCUCUCCUCCCUACUUUAAUCGUGUAGCAGUAGCUCCUUGUGGCAAUCAGGGUCCUUUACCCUUGCUAGUGUAGUAAUUCCUUUCUUAGUUACCUCGUCCUUCAGUAUGAGGAUCCCAGAGUGAUCAGGUGGUAGUGGCCACUUCAAGUUCAACGAGUAAGUCCCAUGGCAUUCAUUCAUCCACUCCGCACUCCACCACGGAUACUAGCUGUGGGGAAAUAGCACCACAUGCCUUGUUUUGGCUCAAUGCAUUUCUAUAUCAUAGCGCAAAUCCAGCAGAGUGUUAUCUCUGAAAUGGAGCCUUACUGGGGAUGACACUGUAUUGGUCCGUUUUCACACUGCCAUAAAGAAUACUUGAGACUGGAUAAUUUAGAAACAAAAGAGGUUUAAUUGACUUACAGUUCUGCGUGGUUGGGGAAGCCUCAGGAAACUUACAAUCAUGGCGGAAGGUGAAGGGGAAGCAAGGCACGUCUUACAUGGCACCGAGACAGAGAGAGAGAGAGCGCACAGGGGAAACUGAAACUUUAAAACCAUCAGAUCUCAUGAGAACUCCCUCACUAUCAUGAGAACAGCAUGGCGGAAACCGCCCCCAUGAUUCAGUCACCUCCCACCAGCUCCCUCCCUGCAAUAUGGGUAUUACAAUUCAAGAUGAGAUUUGGGUGGGGACACAGAGCCAAAUCAUAUCAGACACUCCUUAAUAAGGUGUUCUAUUAAGGUGGUUGCUUCUGAAUAAUGGGGUACAUUGUCAGACCAGAGGAUUCUGGGUUAUGUGUCCAUUGUUGCACUCUCCCUGCCCUUUAUUUUAUUUUAUUUUAUUUUAUUUAUUUAUUUAUUUUUGAGAAAGAGCUUCACUCUGUUGCCCAGGCUGGAGUGCAGUGGCACAAUCUUGGCUCACUGCAACCUCCACCUCCCAGGUUCAAGUGAUUCUUGUGCAUCACCCUCCCAAGUAGCUGGGAUUACAUGUGCGCACCACCACACCUGGCUAAUUUUUGUAUUUUUAGUAGAGAUGGGGUUUUACCAUGUUGGCCAGGCUGGUCUCAAACUCCUGGCCUCAAGUGAUCUGCCCAUCUUGGACUCCCAAAGUGCUGGGAUUAUAGGCAUGAACCACAAUACCCAGCCUGUUGCACCCCUUUGUCAUAAAAAUGGGCCCUUUCUUCUGAGACAGUGUUGUGCUGUGUACCAUGCUAAGAGGCCAAGCAUCUUGUAGACCAAUAAUGGUAGCUCUUAUGGAGGCAUGGUGGGCUGGAAAAGAAAAUAUAACUGGAGUAAGUAUCAAUUUUGUUAAGGGACAAUUUCUACUUCCUCUGGCAUAAAAGAGUCUGAGAUAAUCAACCUGCCACAAAUGUCCUUGACGAACUUUGUGAUAUCAACGUUUCAAGGUCAGUUCUUGCUGUGGGUUAACCUGGGUGAGAGGGAACCCAUGUUGUUGGACCCAUACAUAGCUUCCAUCCCUGCCACCACAGGCACUCUGUUUGUGCAUUCAUUAUGCCACCACUGGAGUGGCUUAGGAGACAGGCUGGCUGACAUCCAUAGGAUAAGUCAUCCUGUCCAUCCACCUGGCUGUUGAGAGCCUUCUCUGCAAGGGAUGCUCCCUGUUGGGCAUCAAUGUGAGAUCCAAAGAUCUAGAUGCUUUUUACUUAUUCCCAGAAGUCCAUCCACAUGCCCUUUCCCCAGACAUCCUUGUCCCAUAUCUUCCAGUCUUACUCCUUUCAAGUUCCUGGCCAACCAGCCAAAGCAUUCAUUGCCGCCCCCAGAAUUCUUGUUAAUCCACACCUUAGGCUAGUUUUCCUCCCAUAAAAAAUGAAACAAUUAAAUUUACUACUGUUCUCUGCUUUACCUACCAGGAAAAUGUUCCUUUAACCACUGUACUUUAUAAAAUAAAUGUUUGGCCAAAACCAAUAAUUAAUGCCAACUCAUCUAUGAGAAAAUUUUCUCUCCCUUUAUUGGAUAUAGGAUGAAAGGGACUAGGACCCCUCUCCCCCACCAAUAAAGCCAGUGAUGUGAGUUGAGAGAGACAUACUGUUGCAACAAGGGUACUGAGU
rnacentral:lncRNA from 1 species